rnacentral:rRNA from 1 species
UACGUAGGGUGCAAGCGUUGUCCGGAAUUAUUGGGCGUAAAGAGCUCGUAGGCGGUUUGUCGCGUCUGCCGUGAAAGUCCGGGGCUCAACUCCGGAUCUGCGGUGGGUACGGGCAGACUAGAGUGAUGUAGGGGAGACUGGAAUUCCUGGUGUAGCGGUGGAAUGCGCAGAUAUCAGGAGGAACACCAAUGGCGAAGGCAGAUCUCUGGGCCGUAACUGACGCUGAGGAGCGAAAGCAUGGGGAGCGAACAGG